rnacentral:rRNA from 1 species
GACGAACUUUGGCGGCGUGCUUAACACAUGCAAGUCGAACGGAAAGGCCCUGCUUUUGUGGGGUGCUCGAGUGGCGAACGGGUGAGUAACACGUGAGUAACCUGCCCUUGACUUUGGGAUAACUUCAGGAAACUGGGGCUAAUACCGGAUAGGAGCUCCUGCUGCAUGGUGGGGGUUGGAAAGUUUCGGCGGUUGGGGAUGGACUCGCGGCUUAUCAGCUUGUUGGUGGGGUAGUGGCUUACCAAGGCUUUGACGGGUAGCCGGCCUGAGAGGGUGACCGGCCACAUUGGGACUGAGAUACGGCCCAGACUCCUACGGGAGGCAGCAGUGGGGAAUAUUGCACAAUGGGCGGAAGCCUGAUGCAGCAACGCCGCGUGCGGGAUGACGGCCUUCGGGUUGUAAACCGCUUUCGCCUGUGACGAAGCGUGAGUGACGGUAAUGGGUAAAGAAGCACCGGCUAACUACGUGCCAGCAGCCGCGGUGAUACGUAGGGUGCGAGCGUUGUCCGGAUUUAUUGGGCGUAAAGGGCUCGUAGGUGGUUGAUCGCGUCGGAAGUGUAAUCUUGGGGCUUAACCCUGAGCGUGCUUUCGAUACGGGUUGACUUGAGGAAGGUAGGGGAGAAUGGAAUUCCUGGUGGAGCGGUGGAAUGCGCAGAUAUCAGGAGGAACACCAGUGGCGAAGGCGGUUCUCUGGGCCUUUCCUGACGCUGAGGAGCGAAAGCGUGGGGAGCGAACAGGCUUAGAUACCCUGGUAGUCCACGCUGUAAACGGUGGGUACUAGGUGUGGGGUCCAUUCCACGGGUUCCGUGCCGUAGCUAACGCUUUAAGUACCCCGCCUGGGGAGUACGGCCGCAAGGCUAAAACUCAAAGGAAUUGACGGGGCCCCGCACAAGCGGCGGAGCAUGCGGAUUAAUUCGAUGCAACGCGUAGAACCUUACCUGGGUUUGACAUGGAUCGGGAGUGCUCAGAGAUGGGUGUGCCUCCUUUGGGGUCGGUUCACAGGUGGUGCAUGCCUGUCGUCAGCUCGUGUCGUGAGAUGUUGGGUUAAGUCCCGCAACGAGCGCAACCCUUGUUCACUGUUGCCAGCACGUUAUGGUGGGGACUCAGUGGAGACCGCCGGGGUCAACUCGGAGGAAGGUGGGGAUGACGUCAAGUCAUCAUGCCCCUUAUGUCCAGGGCUUCACGCAUGCUACAAUGGCUGGUACAGAGAGUGGCGAGCCUGUGAGGGUGAGCGAAUCUCGGAAAGCCGGUCUCAGUUCGGAUUGGGGUCUGCAACUCGACCUCAUGAAGUCGGAGUCGCUAGUAAUCGCAGAUCAGCAACGCUGCGGUGAAUACGUUCCCGGGGC